UACGUAGGGGGCAAGCGUUGUCCGGAUUUAUUGGGCGUAAAGAGCGUGUAGGCGGUUUGAUAGGUCCGCUGUGAAAACUCGAGGCUCAACCUCGAGACGCCGGUGGAAACCAUCAGACUAGAGUCCGGAAGAGGAGAGUGGAAUUCCUGGUGUAGCGGUGAAAUGCGCAGAUAUCAGGAAGAACACCCGUGGCUAAGGCGGCUCUCUAGUACGGUACUGACGCUGAGACGCGAAAGCGUGGGGAGCGAACAGG
rnacentral:rRNA from 1 species